AAAUAAAAUAAAAUAUACCGAAAAGAUUGUAAUUAAAUGGUGGGGUGUGACUGUGUGAGCUUUGAGUAGAGCAAUAGAAAAAUAAUGGGGUCGAGAGGGCUGGCGACUGGCGAGCAACAUCAACAUUGUCAGCAGCGGAGAAAAACAAGGCUAAACGCAGAGAGAUACUGGAAAAGAAGAAGGCAAUUGAUGAAUUGAUAAAAGAAGCUUCUUCUUAGAAGGACCAUCUUGUUUCUUUCGAGCCCUUUUGUCAUUACAAUAGAAAUGGUCAAUAUGGAGGGGCUGUUUGGCCCCAAGUGGUCUACAGAAGAACAGAUGAAGCGUAGGGACAUGAUGGCUUCAGAAGCAUGUUAUAGUUUUUUUUCACGAGGCUCCAAAUUCCAGUGUUGAUAAGAUGUCAAUAAAGUUAGAUAAGAGCCCCUUGGUUGGAUUUGUAAACUAUCGCUUUACUCUUGAGGAAGAGAUACCUGUUCUUUAUGUGUAUGAAAUACAGCUCGAGUCUCGUGUCCAAGGGAAGGGACUGGGGAAAUUAUUUAUGCAAUAAAUUGAGCUUGUUGCUCGCAAGGUGCUGAUGCUCUUUCUUGUCAGCCCUUUAAUGGUUGUGAAUAACUAAUUAGAUAUACAAAUACACACAUGUUUCUACGUUUUCUUAUUAAACAGCAUACAAUUAUAUAACCCAUCUUUCUCUUCCUCUCUGUAAAUCUCAACUCUCUUCACUUUGUACUUCAGAAUUAACUAUUCUAGGUUCAUGUUGUGCUUCAUCAUAAUUGAUAUUUAAUUUAGUCAUUUCAUCUUCUCUAGAAUCACAUGAGUGCUGUAGUCCUAACAGUUAAAAAAGCUAAUGCAGUAGCUAUGAAUUUCUACAAAAGUUAGCCGAGGUAUGUCUUUUACUCGACAAUACUGCUAUCCUAGUGAUCUCUUAAAUUUGUGACAUUUAGCUCUGAGAUUCUUGGUUGAGUGGCACUCAUUUACUAGAUAAAAUGCAAUAGUAAUGAGUAUUAUUAGAUGCUGAUGGCAAUUCGCAACCAGAAGAAACCUCUUUCCUUCCCAGGCUGCUAACUAUUUUCCCACCAAUUCAUAAUAUUUCUUUACCAUUUUUGCCUGAAUUGUUUUUUUAAUCCAUCAGUCACUUUCAAGCAUUUCACCACUGAGAGUUGAUCCCUUGAUGGGACUUGAGAAAAGUUACGUGAUUCUCUGCAAAGCGUUUGACCAUGAAGCCAAAGCUAUUUUGGAGGUACGAACUAUCACAUUCUUUUCUGUGAAUAAUAAUGUUGUAACCCUAAACUCUGUGCCAUUGUGCUUGUGUGAGAAUUCAGGAUAGAAAAGGAAGCUUUCUUCCAGGUAUUGUUAUGGAUACUUCUUGCAAGUUGCAUAUUUUGAUAUGCUUAUGUUUUUACAUGACAACCCUUUGUAAAUAAACAUACAGGUGAUUGAAAAUUUCAGUAAUAUAUUCCUAGUAUUGUGCAGUUAAAUGUUAGUGUUAAAGAGUAAAAAACUGCAUUGCAAUUAAGGUAUUGUUUCUGGAAUCCAGUCUUCAACAAAUCAACCAAUGCAUUUUCAUAGGUUAAGAGGUUUCAUUGCUGCCAACAGUGUUUCUCUGUUCAUUCUGGAAAUAUUUUUCUGUUGACUUGUACUUGUGGAUUGCAAAUCUUUUAAUUUCUUCUUGGUAUUGCUUUUCCAUCUACUAAAUACCGUGUCUGGAAAGCUUCUUGCAUUACCUUCUAAUGAGAAGACUUACGUAAAUAAAUAUUCCAAAGAUGAGGAUGAGCACAUGAAUUCUGUCAUAGGGUAGAAGCUUUUUUGCUUCCUGUGGGCUUCUUGCUUAUUUUCUUAGGUGACUCUAAGAGCAGCAUAGUAUGGCACGUGCUAUGUAUUUUAGUUCCAUCAUAUUCGUUUUCUGAAAAUUGUGUUCAUAAAUAUUUUGAAAUUUGUUGCUAUUUGGUGGUGUUUACAGCUUCCCUUUGAUUUUUUGUGUAAAAGAGCAUGUAAUGACCAAGAGUUAUACUAGCAAGCUAGUUCAUUGAGCUUAUGAAGUCCUGGUAUGGAAUUUUUAUUAAGUUUAUGUGCUUGUCAUUUUGAUUUCCUCAAGAUGGACAUGAACAUUUGAUUAAGGAAACAUUACAUCUACUUUUUUCAGUAGUGGAACUUUCAUCAGUAAAUAUGAUGGAAUAUAUUGUUGAUUGGAUGCAAAAGUCUCCAUCAUUUCGUAUUUUUUUGGUGUAGUUUAACAGGGGGGGAAUUUAAGCUUUUGAGGUCACUCACACAAAUUCUUUCAACAUAUAUUGUAAUUGAAUAAUCUUUUCACUCCAUUAUAAAGAAAAUUUAUUUUGAUUUUCCUAUGCAGGGAAGUGGAUGAGUAGGAUAGAGAUGACUAUUGAACAUAUUUUUUAUGUAUUUUUCUGAAUCAAACCUUUUUUUUCUGCAUGUACUUUCUCUUUUCCUAUUCUUAAAUACAAAAUAGAAUAAACUAAUGAUAUAGAAUCAUUAUAAUUGAUUCUAUGCAUGAACCAUCUGAUUAGUGAUGCUCUUCACCAUCGUUCACAAUUGAACUUUUUUUCUUUUGCUUUUUCUCAAAGAUGAGGGCUUAGUACUAUGGUAGUUGAUACUUUGCGAAACUGCAUCGUGUUUUAAUGUUUCACUAAAUUCCAUUAAAAACUAUCUGCGUGAUGCAAUGUGGUGUUUGUACGAUUGAAAUUAAAUCUAGGAUUGGAAUUUGAGUAUUGACAGAUACUGUUGGCUUCUAAAUGAAGUACAGUGUAGGGUCUUAGUUAUAAAGAGUGCUGGGGUAAUAAGUGGAAUGUGGAUAAUUGUGUGAAAAGCGGUCACUAAUAAGUCAUUGAGCUUUUCUCUAUCUGUUGUUGUUUCUUGGUAGUAUUUUUUUUCUUGGGGAGGGGGAUCUUGCGCUGAUUCAUGGAGAAGACUAGGUUAUCUUACAUUUCUUUAAUUCAGCAAGAACUUGCUUGAAUGAGAGAAAUUCAUGCUCAAAGAAAACUUUGUUUUUCUAGGAACUACACACUUGCCAAUUUUAACAAAUAGUUCACUAAAUACAAAAAAGAAAAAAAAGAAAAGAAAA